CCGCCUUUUUAUUAGGUAACCUCCUGAUACGACCUGUUACAGACCUCCUGUUACAACCCGUUACAUCCUGUUUUAUUGGGUUACCUCCUGUUACGACCCGUUACAGCCUGUUUUAUUAGGUUACCUCCUGUUACGACCCGUUACAGCCCGUUUUAUUUGGGUUACCUCCUGUUAUGACCCGUUACCGCCCGUUUUGUUUGGGUUACCUCCUGUUACCGCCUUUUUAUUAGGUUACCUCCUGUUACGACCCGUUACAGCCUGUUUUAUUAGGUUACCUCCUGUUACAACCCGUUACAGCCCAUUUUAUUAGGUUACUUCCUGUUACGACCCGUUACAGCCUGUUUUAUUAGGUUACCUCCUGUUACGACCAGUUACAGCCUGUUUUAUUAGGUUACCUCCUGUUAUUGUAUUAUUCUGUUAUCUCCUAUUUAUCCGUCAGUGUCUUUCCUGUAAUAAACCAACUUU